rnacentral:ncRNA from 1 species
CAGAGCGUAGGCUUUUUUUAGGCACUCCAAUUUCUUCAAAGUAACAGCACCAGAGGCACGAUCCGACCAGUUAAGACUAGGAGUGUAUCGCCGGUAGAAGAGACAAGUAAUUCUAGAGCUAAUACGUGCAAGAAACCCCGACUUUUGGAAGGGAUGCAUUUAUUCGAUAAAAUGUUGACGUGAGCUUUGCUCAUUGCUCUAAUGAUUCAUGAUAACUUGAUGGAUCGCACAGCCAUCAUGCCGGUGACGCAUCAUUCAAAUCUCUAUCUCUACCCUAUCAAAUGGUAAGAUUGUGGACUAAUAUGGUGGUGACGGGUGACGGAGAAUUAGGGUUCAAUUUCCGGAGACAGAGCCUAGGAAAUGGCUACCACAUCCAAAGAAGGCAACAGGCGCACAAAUUACAUAAUCCUGACACAGGGAGGUAGUGACA